rnacentral:rRNA from 1 species
GACGAACGCUGGCGGCGUGCCUAAUACAUGCAAGUAGGACGCAGUUGCGAACGGGAGAGUAACGCGUAGGUAACUACCUAUUAGAGGGGGAUAACUAUUGGAAACGAUAGCUAAUACCGCAUACUAGUAGAUUGACCUGCGUUGUAUUAGCUAGUCGGUAGGGUAAUGGCCUACCUAGGCAACGAUACAUAACCGACUGGAGAAGGUGGUCGGCAAACAUGGGAAUUGGAACAGGCGCAGACUCCUACGGGAGGCAGGAGUAGGGAAACUUCGGCAAUGGGGGGAAACCUGACCGAGCAAAGCCGGUGGAGAGAAGAAGGUUUUCGGAGAGUAAAGCUAUGUUGAUAAGGAAGCGGUACUUAAAGAGAAAGGAACGGCUAACUACGUGCCAGCAGCCGCGGUAAUUC